GCCUGGGUGGCUCAGUCGGUUGAGCGUCCGACUUCGGUUCAGGUCAUGAUCUCACAGCUAGUGAGUUCGAGUCCCAUGUCAGGCU
rfam:Felis catus isolate Cinnamon breed Abyssinian chromosome F1, whole genome shotgun sequence.